UACAGAGGGUGCAAGCGUUAAUCGGAAUUACUGGGCGUAAAGCGUGCGUAGUCGGUUAUUUAAGUCGGAUGUGAAAUCCCCGGGCUCAACCUGGGAAUUGCAUUCGAUACUGGAUAGCUAGGGUUCGGCAGAGGGAAGCGGAAUUUCUGGUGUAGCGGUGAAAUGCGUAGAUAUCAGAAGGAACAUCAGUGGCGAAGGCGGCUUCCUGGACACUAACUGACGCUGAGACGCGAAAGCGUGGGGAGCAAACAGG
rnacentral:rRNA from 1 species